CCACAUUCCUGCUCCUGGACUGUGUUGUCUGCGGAUGGACAGACAGCCGGACAGAGCUCCUUUUUCCUUUUUUUUUGCUUUUAGUUAGUUUUAGCUAGCUGAGACAAAGAAGUUCCCUGGACUGUGAUUUUUUCCUUUUUUCUUGGACCUGUUCAAGCCUGCUCUGCACUGAACACCCAGAAGAGCACCGGCAGCUCCACCUGUGGCCCCUGGCCGGGCCUGGGCCGCGGCGUUUCCGGCACCAGAGACUGAUCAGAGACUGAGUGAGCCAAGCUGCAACCCGGGGAGGGGACUGUUCUGAGUUUGCUUUCUUUGGAUCAGUGAGAAGUUUUAUUGUUUAAUAUUGUUUGGUUUCUAUUGUUUAAUAAACAGGUUUCUUUCCACUUUUCUCCAAGGAGAUAUUUUCUCCCAAACCGGUUGGAGGGGGGAGGGGCAGUUGAAUUUGCUUUUGUAGAGAAGCCCCUUUGGGGGUUAUCUCCCAAACUUGCCCUAAACCAGGACACUUGGUUCCUAAGAUAGACAAGGGUCUGCACAAGGCUCAGUUUUUGAACUUUGGGAUAAAACAAUAGGUUCAAUGUGGGAUAUGUGGUAGGCAUUUCGGGAAGGCUGCAUCUCGGGGUUCGCUGUUGUUUGUCUCUGCCCCGAUACAGGAAAAGGUGGUUCCGGGUGGUCGCACAGUGAAGGACGAGUCUGGACUCUCAGGUUUUCUGUCUUCAAUCUUGUUUAUUAAUUCUUAUCUACAAUAUUUUCUCUCUGCCCAGCCGAGGUCCGCUCAGCAGGACAGCCAAGUGCACUUUCCCCCGCCCACGGGACAGUUGUGUCUUUUAUAGUAAAAAUUACAUCUAUCAUAUUUACCUUUAAUUCCUAAUACUUUUCACCCUUCUUGAGAAGUGUACCUUCACCAUGAACCAAUCCAAAAGUGCCAACAUCACCACAGAAAAUGGAAGACAUUAAGAAGAAAGAAGAACCCAGGACCACGCCCUGAAUCCUCCAUCUUGUCUUCAUGACCCCCCUGUACCUAAAUUCUAAAAUUUAUACUUCACCUUGCAAACACACUAUUCACACUCUAAAACUUUCCAUUUCCUCAUACACAGAUGUUUCAUGUCUAGAUGGAUCAAAGUCAAGCCACCAAACACUUUUGGCAACAUUCCAGGAUCUCCGAGCCCCCCCAAAGGUUCUCUCGGCGACUCUGGACAUUCAGAGUGAUGUGUUGAGUUCCCACAGCUGCACCUUCCCAUUACCUUAGACAGUGGGGACAGGAAGAGGGCAUUGUGUGGCCGGGAGUUUGGCACAAAAGGGUGGCUGAGUCCUCUGAUACCCCCAGAGAGAAAACCCCGUAGGCGUGCGCCCCGGUGGACUCUCUCUCUUUAUUCGAAUAAAGUUGAAGGACUCCUCUGUCUUCUUUUUGGGUGUAAACCUCUGUCAUUUGUGGAUUUUCCUGACAUUUUUCAGGUUGUCUGUAAAACUGCAACAGAGAUGGAGGAAAAACAAGUACAGGGAGGGAGAUGGUGCAGAGCAGUUUCCAGGGUUUACCUCAGCGAAGCUGAAUUGCUGUUGGUUCAAAACAUCAUCGAUGUCCUUACUAAAAAAGAAUUGCAGAAACAAAUGCAGAAAGAGAACACAGAUGUCUCCCAGGAAGAGAUACAAUGUGAAGAACUUGAGUGAGGGGAAGAGGACAGAUGCCCACACUUCUUCUCCAGCUCCUGCAACUAUAUAGGCAUUGCCACAACUUUUCCUUGAUUUUAAUCCCUGACUGUUAUUCCCUUAUCUAUUUCCUUGGAUCCCAGUUCUUGCCUUGGAGGCUAUUUCCUUCCUGAUAUUUCUUUGACUCUCAUUGAAUGUUACUUCCUACACAGUUAUUUCCUUGGAGGUUAUUUCCUAAUAAAUUCUGGUUUUGUUCA